GGGCGAUUAGCUCAGCUGGUAGAGCAGCUGACUCUUAAUCAGCGGGUCCAAGGUUCGAAUCCUUGAUCGCCCA
rnacentral:tRNA from 2 species